UCCAUAUUCAUUCCUGGUAUGAUCACACUCAUCUUACGAGGUCCUUUAAAGCCCAGGACAUUUGUUUCAUAACAAAUAGCAGCUAGCUCCUGACGCAGGACACUCGCCUCCAGGCUUGAUGUUGUUUUCAUUGGAUUUACUCCAUUGUCAUAAACUGUAAACUUAGUUCCCAUAAGAUUUGAUCUCAGUUUUCCAAUAAAACUCUCUCCACCUCGAGACAGGUCAGUUGGGUCUAUGGAGAUGAGGUAAUUAGAGGUUUUAC
rnacentral:lncRNA from 1 species